UACGUAGGGGGGCAAGCGUUGUCCGGAAUCAUUGGGCGUAAAGAGCGUGUAGGCGGCUCGGUAAGUCCGCUCUGAAAUCCCCAGGGCUCAACCCUGGGCGUGCAGUGGAUACGGGCAGGCUGGAGGCAGGCAGGGGGAGAACGGAAUUCCCGGUGUAGCGGUGAAAUGCGCAGAUAUCGGGAGGAACACCGGUGGCGAAGGCGGUUCUCUGGGCCUGUACUGACGCUGAGGAGCGAAAGCGUGGGGAGCGAACAGG
rnacentral:rRNA from 1 species